rnacentral:lncRNA from 1 species
CGGAGGUGGGGCUGUGCUCUGUGAGUGGUCUGCCAGUACUACUCAGUCAACUCUACUGCUCUCUAGCAAGACACAUCCCCCACUCUCAAGAUUAUGCUAGGAAGAUAAUCCAAAAACUGUUAGCAACAAAGAGAAGGCUAUGUCAAGGGCAGGUCUAAGUUAUGCCUUAGCCCUGACCCCUUUCCAUUAGCCAGAGAAGAGGAUCCAUAUGAAACUCCUGCAAGAGGAAAGUAGCAUACUGUAAGUCCAGCCCACUCCUCCCUUUCCUAAGUUUAAUUUCUAGAACUUCUUAUGUUGGCAAAAUGCUUGCUUGGCUUAAAAUUUUAUUACAAGUGUUUUUAAGAGGCAAGGUCUUGCUAUGUUGUUCAGGUUAAUCUCCAAAUCUUGGGCUCAAAUAAUACUUUACUCUCAUACUUCUGGGUAGCUGGACUGCAGGUACCGCCGUGGCCCACUCUACUGCUGCAUUGAGUAAAUACCCACUCGUUUAAAGACAGACAAAAUCAGUACCUUCCCUGCAUAGUUCUCUGCAGAGCCCUAGUGUGCACAGCAACAGAAGCAGUGUGCACAGCCACUCCCUCACCUGACAUUGGUCUGACAGUCCCUUGUUAUGUCCCAACUCUUCUCUUCUGAAUUGUGAUUUUUACUCUGUGACCUAUUUUUUGGUUGAAAGUAUGUAAUUUGAUUUUUUAUUUUACAGAGUUUCAAAGUUAAAGAGAUUUUCUGAGUCUCAGAAGAGACUCUGAACUUACACUUUUGAACAGUUUUGGAACUGUUAAAGACAACAAAUUGAGGACUUUUGAAGUUGGACCAAAUGCAUUUUGCAUGAUAAGAUGGCCAGGAGCCUAUGGUGAAAAGGGUAGACUUAUGAUGGUGAUACUGUUAACCUGUUAGGAUCUAGAAUCUCUAAGGGGACAACCUUAAGGGCUCAUCUGUGAGUGUGUCUCAAACUUGGGUGAGAGACACGUGGUCACCAUGACUUGCACUACUGUAUGGAUGGGGGACUCAGUCUGAAUGAAAGGAGAAAGCAGCAGACUCCAUCACUCUGCUUCUGAGUGGGGAUGCAAUGUGGGCAGCUGUUCAAGCCCCUGCUGCCUGGUUCUGUCAUGAUGGAUCCUGGGGGCCCAGAUAAGUUUUCCUUCCUUAAACUGAUUUUAUCAGGUAUUUUGUUGAAGCAACAAGUAACUAAUACACAGAUAAUGUUUCUUUUUUGCUUCUAUACUGACAUUUUAAUCAUAAUAUGAAGAACCAUGUACAGUUUCUAUCUUUAUUCUUGUAUGAGCAUUUUAAGUCUCAGGAACGUGGGGGCCAGGAUGAAAGCUAGGCUCACUCUGUGCUUCCCAACCAUCUCUCUGGGUAGGAGACUUCCUAGGAUCCGUCCUCAUCUCCACUGCAGUCUGGCUAGUCUGGUUUAAAAGCUCUCAAAACUUCUCUUCCAAGUAUCGCUAGGCUGGCUCUCCUGAGACAGCAGAGAACCUUCACUGUCCCCCUAUACGUUGAAAGCCUUUGAGAAUCCAUCCUCAUUUGUGAAGGAAGAGUGGCUUGUAUCUUUGCAUCUCAGAUUUUUCACAUACUCAUUUGAAGACUUUAAGCAAAGUGCUUAGGUUCUUAGAACCUCACCUUCCUCAAGCAUAGAAGGCAGAUAAAUAUUUUUUUUAUUUUAAAGAUGAAGAUCGUAUAAGUGUUUUGCCCAAAGCCUGACACCUAAUAAACAUACAGAAGAUAGUGUAAGUAUAAAGGAAAGAGAGAAAAAAUGAAAAUAAGGCAGGCUGCACUCUAGGAAAAGAGAGGCAAGGCCAAUGGUGAGCUCAACUCUCCAACCUGGCUGACAGAGAGCAGGAAGGUCAAGCAACAGCUGGGUAUCAACAAGCUGGUGGCAGGACCUUGACUGGCAUUUGUUCAGAUGGGAUGUGUUUGAGAAUAAAAGUUCACUACUUGGCUGGCAAAUGAGUCAAAUUCCAGGGACGGAAAGAUGUUUUCUCUGAGCCACUGAGAUUGGCUAGUUGGCACAUUAGAAUAAGCCUUCCAAAGUACGGAUGUCUUGGGGAGUAACUGUGAACUGAGGCAAAAUGCCUGAAAUCACAGGUUCCUUAAAUACCAUAAGCAUCAAACACUAGAUACUGUCCAACACCAUCCAUGACCAAAGAUGGGUUAUCUCUCUGUGUCUCAGGUCUCUGUUCUUAACAGGGAAAAUAAGAGUACUCUCAGUGUUAGUAGAGCAAUAACUUCAUGUCUCUCAGAAUGUGUAGUGUGUGAUAAAUACUCCAAACUGUAACCUGUAAAUGCAAUGUGUGGUGUUUGAUAGGCAAUUCCUUCAGCAGUCUAUUUUAGGGAAUAAGAAUUUCAGUAAAAUAAUGUAUGUGAACAGAUGUUGUGCCACAGCUAAGAACAAACUUACAGGUGGCUUGCACUUCUUACAGAGGAUGAAGCAAUCUGUGGGAUGCAUUAUGCAACCACUAAUAAUAGUAUUUUAUCUCAGACUCUCAUGAUAGUGAAAUGGUCUUAACUGGGACUAGAGCAAUGGGGCUCGUCUGGCAACUGAGGCUGAGGGCUUGAUCUACAAAUAGCAACAAAAGUCAUCACAGAAUCUAGUGACAAAGACUACAUAAUUAUACUAUAAACUAAAUGUAAAAAUAUGAAUUUACAUACAUACCAUAAACAUGUGGGUAUAUAAAGAUAAACAUGUAUAAAUAGAACUAUAUAUUUAAAGUAAUAUAUAAACUAGGUCAGUAUUUGAAAGAGUUAAUAAAAUGUAUUUUUAAAAGCUAAGAAGGUAAAGCAAAUGCCAGGAAGGAGGAGAUGCUAGGUACCAGGCAAACACACGCAUACAAAUGUCUAAUAUCCUCAUUGUUACAAUAACUGUUUAAGAAGAGAUUACUACAUACCCACACAGUUAAUAUUUGAAGAUAAAAUCCAACUAAAAACAAAACAAAACAAACAAAAACCAAAACCCGAAAAACCUGAACUAAGAGCUGGGAGUGAACUUAAUGAGCAGCAGAGGAGCUGUGAGUUGGGACUCAUCACUGGGCUUAAUCCCUCCUUGGUGGUAUUGAGACCACAGCCUAACCAGCUCUGUUUUUCUUCUUCUCUGCAGACAACCACGUCAGAGGCACAACUCCAGUGUCACUGAAACGCUCCCACUCAUAAGUCUUUGCUAGCUAGUCUUUGUGAGACAUUUUCUAUUGCUGACAUUUUCACAUUUCAAAGCCUAUAAACAUAAAUGAGCUGACUUUUUUGGUUUUGUCUCCAAAACUAAAGCAAGCAGAAAAGACCAUGUGGACCAGUUAUUCUCAACCUUUGCGACCCUUUAAUACAGUUCCACAUGGUAUGGCGAUCCCCAACCAUAACAUUAUUUUUGUUGCUACUUCAUAACUGUAAUUUUGCUACUGUUAUGAACUGCAAUGUUAAGAUCUCAUGCGCAGGACAUCUGGUGUGCAACUCCUGUCAAAGGUGGUUCGAUGCUCCCCAACGGGUCUUGGUGCACAGGCUGAGAACCACCAAUGUUAACAAGACCCAGCACCUUGCUCAUUAUGCAACUCUAGGAGACAGGAUUGACUUACCGCAAAGACCCCUCGAACUACCCAGCCAUGGUGUUGCCGUAAUGUUUUGCCAUAUGCGUUAUCUUGAAAAGAAAGAGAUUUUGUGGAUGGUAAGAUGCCAAUGUGAUUUGUAUAAUACACUGUUUAAUAUAUGCUAACUACUGGCUUCUUUUCUUUCAAGACAAACAGAAAUUUUCACCUAUACUGGGGUCACUGUAUCUGAACUUCAGUUUAUUAUCACAGUGGAAAAAUUUCACAGAUAACACAGUAAGGUGAGAGAAAAAGAUAUAGAAAAUUAUCAUUAAAUACAACUGGAACUAUGCAAUGAAUCUAAACCAUUGUUCUUUGAAAUGCAGGCUCCCUUCUGGCCAGGCUUAGAUACUUCUCUAAUUACCCAUCUUCCAGUGAGUAAAGUCAUCUCUAAUUCUUGACAAUUCUAAUGUUCACUCCUGAGAUAACAAACAUUUGUCUUAAUUCUCUUAGUAACCCUCAAUAUACAGUAUAGAAGCCCGAGUCCCCAAAAAUGUUACAGAAAAGCAAUGUGUAGCAUAUACACCCACGGUUCCAGUCACUCAGGAGGCUGAGCUGGAGAAUCACUUGUGC